UAGUGGCGAACGGGUGAGUAACGCGUAAACAACCUGCCCAACGGAUGGGGACAACAGACGGAAACGACUGCUAAUACCCAAUAGACUCCGGUUUCGCAUGAAACCGACAGGAAAGGUGGCCCCUCGAAGAAGCUACCGCCGCAGGAGGGGUUUGCGUUUGAUUAGUUAGUUGGUGGGGUAACGGCCUACCAAGACGAUGAUCAAUAGCCGGUCUGAGAGGAUGAACGGCCACACUGGAACUGAGACACGGUCCAG
rnacentral:rRNA from 1 species